AGCUGUGCUGUGCAAACUCAUCCUCCAGAUGUGUGAUGAGAACACCUCUUCUAUUUCCUCAUUGAAUUUUGAGUGCUGCUUUUCCACGUGGAGAAAGAAUUGCGAAGAGGAUGUAAGAUCAGUUCGACGGUGUUGCCCUGGUCCAGCUGAGAGAGGACACUACGUGGCAUUCACUGUACGUGGAGGAGGUAUUUCGUCCCAGUGUGUACCCAGCACACAGGAAGUGGCUGCUUGAAACUCUCCCAGCUCCAGAUUUUGAAGACCAUCUCAAGGGCCUCCAGCAUCAGAAUCAUCAGAAUGGAAAGCUCCUGAAUCUUUUCCCCUGGUCCACGACAUCAGCAUCUCUGAA